CCUUGAGGAGUGGCUUCCGGAGCUAACGCGUUAAGUCGACCGCCUGGGGAGUACGGCCGCAAGGUUAAAACUCAAAUGAAUUGACGGGGGCCCGCACAAGCGGUGGAGCAUGUGGUUUAAUUCGAUGCAACGCGAAGAACCUUACCUACUCUUGACAUCCAGAGAACUUAGCAGAGAUGCUUUGGUGCCUUCGGGAACUCUGAGACAGGUGCUGCAUGGCUGUCGUCAGCUCGUGUUGUGAAAUGUUGGGUUAAGUCCCGCAACGAGCGCAACCCUUAUCCUUUGUUGCCAGCGAUUCGGUCGGGAACUCAAAGGAGACUGCCGGUGAUAAACCGGAGGAAGGUGGGGAUGACGUCAAGUCAUCAUGGCCCUUACGAGUAGGGCUACACACGUGCUACAAUGGCGCAUACAAAGAGAAGCGACCUCGCGAGAGCAAGCGGACCUCACAAAGUGCGUCGUAGUCCGGAUCGGAGUCUGCAACUCGACUCCGUGAAGUCGGAAUCGCUAGUAAUCGUGGAUCAGAAUGCCACGGUGAAUACGUUCCCGGGCCUUGUACACACCGCCCGUCACACCAUGGGAGUGGGUUGCAAAAGAAGUAGGU
rnacentral:rRNA from 1 species